rnacentral:misc_RNA from 1 species
GAUGAAAAACGUAGCGAAAUGCGAUAAGUAAUGUGAAUUGCAGAAUUCAGUGAAUCAUCGAGUCUUUGAACGCACAUUGCGCCCCCUGGUAUUCCGGGGGGCAUGCCUGUCCGAGCGUCAUUGCUGCCCUCAAGCACGGCUUGUGUGUUGGGCCUCCGUCCUCCUCCCGGGGGACGGGCCCGAAAGGCAGCGGCGGCACCGCGUCCGGUCCUCGAGCGUAUGGGGCUUCGUCACCCGCUCUUGUAGGCCCGGCCGGCGCUUGCCGACACAUCAAUCUUUUUUCCAGGUUGACCUCGGAUCAGGUAGGGAUACCCGCUGAACUUAAGCAUAUCAAUAAGCGGAGGA